rnacentral:lncRNA from 1 species
UGCCAUUUUUAUCCCAUUUCUGAUCCUGGUUUUAUCCUGUUUCUGAUCCCAUUUCUGAUCCCAUUUUCCCAUUUCUGGUCCCAUGUUUUUCCCAUUUCUGAUCCUGUUUUUAUCCCAUUUCUGGUCCCAUUCCUGACCCCACAUUCCCAUUUCUGACCCCAUUCCUGAUCUCAUUUUCCCAUUUCUGGUCCCAUUUUUAUCCUGUUUUUGAUCCCAUUUCUGACCCCAUUUUUCCUAUUUCUGAUCCCGUUUUUGAUCCCCUUUCUGACCCCAUUUCUGAUCCCAUAUUCCCAUUUCUGAUCCCAUUUUCCCCUUUCUGAUCCCAUUUUUGAUCCCAUUUCCGAUCUCAUUUUUUUCCUGUUUAUGAUCCCAUUUUCCCAUUUCUGAUCCCAUUUCUGGUCCCAUUUUAAUCCUGUUUCUGAUCCCAUUUUUAUCCCAUUUCUAACUCCAUUUCCCCCAUUUCCCCCCAGAGACGCCGCUGACGCUGCUGCAGCUGUACCGCCUCUCGGUGCACAGAGCCACUGGGACCUGCACAUCCCUGACCCCAUUUCUGAUCCCACAUUCCCAUUUCUGGUCCCAUUUUUAUCCUGUUUUUGAUCCCAUUUCUGAUACCCUAUUCCCGUUUCUGGUCCUGUUUUUAUCCCAUCUCUGACCCCACAUUCCCAUUUCUGACCCCAUUUCUGA